rnacentral:rRNA from 1 species
UUAUUUUGACCGUGCAAAGGUAGCAUAAUCAUUAGGGGUUUAAUUGGAACCUGGUAUGAAGGGUUGGACAAAGGAAGGGCUGUCUCCAUAUUGUAAGUUGAAGUUUACUUUUAAGUGAAAAGGCUUAAAUGGAUCAAAGGGACGAUAAGACCCUAUAAAGCUUUAUAAAUUACUUAGGUUUAAUUGAUUUAAAUUUUAAAGAUUAGAUUUAUAUUAUUUUAUUUUGUUGGGGCGAUAUGAGUAUAAUUGUUGUUAACUGCUUAGGAUAAAUACAAGUUUAAGUGAAUAUGUAAUUAAAUGAUCCUUUUUUAAGAUUAUAAGACUAAGUUACUUUAGGGAUAACAGCGUUAUUUCUUUUGAGAGUUCAUAUCGAAAAAGAAGAUUGCGACCUCGAUGUUGAAUUAAAAUAUCUAUAUAAUGCAGCCGUUAUAAAAGAGGGUCUGUUC